rnacentral:rRNA from 1 species
GACGAACGCUGGCGGCGUGCUUAACACAUGCAAGUCGAACGGAAAGGCCCUGCUUUUGUGGGGUGCUCGAGUGGCGAACGGGUAAGUAACACGUAAGUAACCUGCCCUUGACUGUGGGAUAACUUCAUAAAACUGGGUCUAAUACCGGAUAGGAGCUCCUGCUGCAUGGUGGGGGUGGGUAAGUUUCGGCGGUUGGGGAUGGAUUCGCGGCUUAUCAGGUUGUUGGUUGGGUAGUGGCUUACCAAGGCUUUGACGGGUAGCCGGCCUGAGAGGGUGACCGGACACAUUGGGACUGAGAUACGACCCAGCCUAGUACGGGAGGGAGCAGUGGGGAAUAGUGUACAAUGGGCGGAAGGCUGAUGCAGUCACGCCGCGCGCGGUAUGUGGGGCUUGGGUUUGGAAUCCGCUUUCGCUUGAGACGAAGUGUUAGUGACGGUAACGGGUAAAUAAGCACCGGCUAACUACGUG